rnacentral:rRNA from 1 species
ACGGAAGGCAGCAGUGGGGAAUAUUGCACAAUGGGCGCAAGCCUGAUGCAGCGAUGCCGCGUGAGGGAAGAAGGUUUUCGGAUUGUAAACCUCUGUCAACAGGGACGAUAAUGACUGUACCUGUGAAGGAAGCUCCGGCUAACUACGUGCCAGCAGCCGCGGUAAUACGUAGGGAGCAAGCGUUAUCCGGAAUUACUGGGUGUAAAGGGAGUGUAGGCGGGACUGCAAGUCAGGUGUGAAAUCUAUGGGCUUAACCCAUAAACUGCAUUUGAAACUGUAUCUCUUGAGUGUCGGAGAGGUAGAUGGAAUUCCUAGUGUAGCGGUGAAAUGCGUAGAUAUUAGGAGGAACACCAGUGGCGAAGGCGAUCUACUGGACGAUAACUGACGCUGAGGCGCGAAAGCGUGGGGAGCAAACAGGAUUAGAUACCCUGGUA